AUGGGCGCCCGUUGCCAUCCCUAGGUGAAAUGAAAGGUAUGAUUAUGAGUUCAAAAUUAAUUAGUAUAUUUAUUUUUUUAUUUGUCUUGAAGCUAGCUAGCUAGCUAGCAUGGUUGAUGCAUGUAUGUUUUAGAUGAAUGAAUGAAAUUAGAAGAAGCAGGUAGUAAUAAAGUAAGUAAGUACCGUUUUUGCGAUGGUUGAUGCAACAGCAGGUGGUAGAAAGAGCGAGGCUACAGAGACGGGUGACAGGGAAAAUGAUAGUUUGCCAAAUAUUAUUAUUAUUAUGCAUCAAUUUCUCUUUGCCUUUGCCUAGUAACACGGUGUUGUUGUUCUUCUUCUUAGAACACUUUUUCUUAUUCUUCUUCUUCUUCUUCUUACUAUUACUAUUACUCUCCAGUACCCCAUCAUCAUCAUCAUCAUCAUGAUGACCACUGUGUGGGUGUGGCACCACAAAUAUUCUCUUUAACCCGGCCAGUUCCACUGAUUCUCUCUAUCUUCUUCUUGUUGUGUAAAGAAAGAUGAAAGAACACACGGAUUGAUUGAUUGAUUUAUUGAUUUAUUGAUAGAUAUAAAGAGAUCGAAAAAGGUUGUUGUGUUGUGUUGUGUUGUGUUUAGAUGGAGAGAGUAGAGUUAAUUGGGUGUAUGUAUGUAUGUAUGUAUGUGUUUAUUUCUUAACAAC
rnacentral:lncRNA from 1 species